CGAGAUAGAUCAGUUGGUAGAGUAGGAGGCUCUUAAUCUCAGGGUUGUGGGUUCAAGCCCCACCUAAUGGGGAAAGA